rnacentral:tRNA from 1 species
GCCACGGUAGUCUAGCGGUUAGAACGUUGGCCUUGUAAUCCUGGGGUCUCGGGUUCGAUUCCCGGCGGUGCCG